GCUGUAGCUCAGUGGUAGAACAUCUGCUUUGUGUUCAAAAAGUCCCAGGUUCAAUUCCUGGCAUCUCCA